AACGAACGCUGGCGGCAUGCCUAACACAUGCAAGUCGAACGAGAUCUUCGGGUCUAGCGGCGCACGGGUGCGUAACGCGUGGGAAUCUGCCCUUUGGUUCGGAAUAACAGCUGGAAACGACUGCUAAUACCGGAUGAUGACGAAAGUCCAAGGAUUUAUCGCCAGAGGAUGAGCCCGCGUAGGAUUAGCUAGUUGGUGUGGUAAAGGCGCACCAAGGCGACGAUCCUUAGCUGGUCUGAGAGGAUGAUCAGCCACACUGGGACUGAGACACGGCCCAGACUCCUACGGGAGGCAGCAGUGGGGAAUAUUGGACAAUGGGCGAAAGCCUGAUCCAGCAAUGCCGCGUGAGUGAUGAAGGCCUUAGGGUUGUAAAGCUCUUUUACCCGGGAUGAUAAUGACAGUACCGGGAGAAUAAGCUCCGGCUAACUCCGUGCCAGCCGCCGCGGUAA
rnacentral:rRNA from 1 species